rnacentral:rRNA from 1 species
AUUGAACGCUGGCGGCAGGCCUAACACAUGCAAGUCGAGCGGUAGCACAGAGAGCUUGCUCUCGGGUGACGAGCGGCGGACGGGUGAGUAAUGUCCGGGAAACUGCCUGAUGGAGGGGGAUAACUACUGGAAACGGUAGCUAAUACCGCAUAAUGUCGCAAGACCAAAGUGGGGGACCUUCGGGCCUCAUGCCAUCAGAUGUGCCCAGAUGGGAUUAGCUAGUAGGUGGGGUAAUGGCUCACCUAGGCGACGAUCCCUAGCUGGGCUGAGAGGAUGACCAGCCACACUGGAACUGCGACACGGUCCCGACUCCUACGGGAGGCAGCAGUGGGGAAUAUUGCACAAUGGGCGCAAGCCUGGUGCAGCCAUGCCGCGUGUGUGAAGAAGGCCUUCGGGUUGUAAAGCACUUUCAGCGGGGAGGAAGGCGGUGAGGUUAAUAACCUCAUCGAUUGACGUUACCCGCAGAAGAAGCACCGGCUAACUCCGUGCCAGCCGCCGCCGUAA